GGGCCGGAAACGCCAAAUCCCGCCGCCGUCCCCGGUAACCGGACCUCGCGCGGGAGCGGGGGAACCACACGUUCCACGGUGCAUCGUCACCUCGGGGUGAAGCCGCCACCGGCGGCCGGGCUCCUCGGCCCGAACCCGACAGCUCACCUCGUCGGCGUGGAGGAAUCCACAU
rnacentral:sRNA from 2 species